ACGCUGGCGGCAGGCCUAACACAUGCAAGUCGAACGGUAACAGGAAGCAGCUUGCUGCUUCGCUGACGAGUGGCGGACGGGUGAGUAAUGUCUGGGAAACUGCCUGAUGGAGGGGGAUAACUACUGGAAACGGUGGCUAAUACCGCAUAACGUCGCAAGACCAAAGAGGGGGACCUUCGGGCCUCUUGCCAUCAGAUGUGCCCAGAUGGGAUUAGCUUGUUGGUGAGGUAACGGCUCACCAAGGCGACGAUCCCUAGCUGGUCUGAGAGGAUGACCAGCCACACUGGAACUGAGACACGGUCCAGACUCCUACGGGAGGCAGCAGUGGGGAAUAUUGCACAAUGGGCGCAAGCCUGAUGCAGCCAUGCCGCGUGUAUGAAGAAGGCCUUCGGGUUGUAAAGUACUUUCAGCGGGGAGGAAGGUGUUGUGGUUAAUAACCGCAGCAAUUGACGUUACCCGCAGAAGAAGCACCGGCUAACUCCGUGCCAGCAGCCGCGGUAAUACGGAGGGUGCAAGCGUUAAUCGGAAUUACUGGGCGUAAAGCGCACGCAGGCGGUCUGUCAAGUCGGAUGUGAAAUCCCCGGGCUCAACCUGGGAACUGCAUUCGAAACUGGCAGGCUUGAGUCUUGUAGAGGGGGGUAGAAUUCCAGGUGUAGCGGUGAAAUGCGUAGAGAUCUGGAGGAAUACCGGUGGCGAAGGCGGCCCCCUGGACAAAGACUGACGCUCAGGUGCGAAAGCGUGGGGAGCAAACAGGAUUAGAUACCCUGGUAGUCCACGCCGUAAACGAUGUCUACUUGGAGGUUGUGCCCUUGAGGCGUGGCUUCCGGAGCUAACGCGUUAAGUAGACCGCCUGGGGAGUACGGCCGCAAGGUUAAAACUCAAAUGAAUUGACGGGGGCCCGCACAAGCGGUGGAGCAUGUGGUUUAAUUCGAUGCAACGCGAAGAACCUUACCUGGUCUUGACAUCCACGGAAGUUUUCAGAGAUGAGAAUGUGCCUUCGGGAACCGUGAGACAGGUGCUGCAUGGCUGUCGUCAGCUCGUGUUGUGAAAUGUUGGGUUAAGUCCCGCAACGAGCGCAACCCUUAUCCUUUGUUGCCAGCGAUUCGGUCGGGAACUCAAAGGAGACUGCCAGUGAUAAACUGGAGGAAGGUGGGGAUGACGUCAAGUCAUCAUGGCCCUUACGACCAGGGCUACACACGUGCUACAAUGGCGCAUACAAAGAGAAGCGACCUCGCGAGAGCAAGCGGACCUCAUAAAGUGCGUCGUAGUCCGGAUUGGAGUCUGCAACUCGACUCCAUGAAGUCGGAAUCGCUAGUAAUCGUGGAUCAGAAUGCCACGGUGAAUACGUUCCCGGGCCUUGUACACACCGCCCGUCACACCAUGGGAGUGGGUUGCAAAAGAAGUAGGUAGCUUAACCUUCGGGAGGGCGCUUACCACUUUGUGAUUCAUGACUGGGGUGAAGUCGUAACAAGGUAACCGUAGGGGAACCUGCGGUUGGAUCACCUCCUUACCUUAAAGAAGC
rnacentral:rRNA from 1 species